rnacentral:rRNA from 1 species
GACGAACGCUGGCGGCGUGCUUAACACAUGCAAGUCGAACGAAGUGGCGAACGGGUGAGUAAUACGUGAGUAACCUGCCCUCCUUUUUGGGAUAAGCCUUGGAAACCGGGUCUAAUACCGAAUACAGUGGGCUGGUCUCGCGGCCUAUCAGCUUGUUGGUGGGGUAAUGGCCUACCAAGGCGGUGACGGGUACCCGGCCUGAGAGGGUGACCGGCCACAUUGGGACUGAGAGACGGCCCAGACUCCUACGGGAGGCAGCAGUGGGGAAGAGUGGGCAAUGGGCGAAAGCCUGAUCCAGCCAUGCCGCGUGUGUGAAGAAGGUCUUCGGAUUGUAAAGCACUUUAAGUUGGGAGGCGGUACCAACAGAAUAAGCAACGGCUAACUUCGUGCCAGCAGCCGCGGUAAUAC